rfam:Lactobacillus oligofermentans DSM 15707 = LMG 22743 strain DSM 15707 NODE_5, whole genome shotgun sequence.
GGGGAUGUUUAUGGAUUCGACUGGUAUGGGUUGAGAUUUGACUGCGUUUCGAAGGUUGCGUCUUCGUUAAAACGCUCAGUUUAAAUUAUAACUGCAAAAAAUAAUACAAACAAUUUCGCUUUAGCUGCUUAAUACCAGCGAGUGAAGAUCCAGCCAGGUUUGCUCAUGGCUUGAUACUGGGUCUAAAAAUUAAGUGAGCUCACGCUUAUUGCUCCAGUCAGAAGUGAUAAGAAGAGAUUAAUCGGACUAGUUAAUCAUGUUGGCCCUGAUCAGCGGCGAAUUGGUUAGCAAAUUUCAAAUAGUUGAUUUAUGAACGUAGACGUCAGAUUGGCAACAUGCUAGGACAGGGGUUCGACUCCCCUCAUCUCCAUAA